AGCACAAGUGAUGAAUGACAAAGGGACUUAAUACUGAAGCAUGGGGUUGAAAUACAAUAUGCUGAUGUGC